GCACUGCAAAAGCAGAGCAGGCCUGCGGUGGCCUGUAAACUGAAGAGAACGGUGCAAAAGAAGCAGCCCAGUUGCGCGGUCUUGUUGUGGCGGACGCCGUGUCUUCGGCGCUCGUCCACCGUGCGGCCGGGCUACAUCA
rnacentral:snoRNA from 1 species